rnacentral:rRNA from 1 species
GAUGAACGCUGGCGGCGUGCCUAAUACAUGCAAGUCGAGCGAACAGACGAGGAGCUUGCUCCUCUGACGUUAGCGGCGGACGGGUGAGUAACACGUGGAUAACCUACCUAUAAGACUGGGAUAACUUCGGGAAACCGGAGCUAAUACCGGAUAAUAUAUUGAACCGCAUGGUUCAAUAGUGAAAGACGGUUUUGCUGUCACUUAUAGAUGGAUCCGCGCCGCAUUAGCUAGUUGGUAAGGUAACGGCUUACCAAGGCAACGAUGCGUAGCCGACCUGAGAGGGUGAUCGGCCACACUGGAACUGAGACACGGUCCAGACUCCUACGGGAGGCAGCAGUAGGGAAUCUUCCGCAAUGGGCGAAAGCCUGGCGGAGCAACGCCGCGUGAGUGAUGAAGGUCUUCGGAUCGUAAAACUCUGUUAUUAGGGAAGAACAAAUGUGUAAGUAACGAUGCACGUCUUGACGGUACCUAAUCAGAAAGCCACGGCUAACUACGU